AUAGGAUAUUAAUUUAGAACCAUAUAAAUUGUAGGUAGGUAUAAAACUAUCCAAAAAACGACUUACUCGUUUGCCCGACUGCCCGCGGGUGUAUGCGGUACGUUAACAAAAGUGACUCUUACCAUUUUCCUUCUACAGAAGAAGUACGGAAUCCUCGUUGCGCGAGUUUGACUCGCGCUUGACCGGUUUUCAGUAUAA